CUGUCAUAGCACGGGGCCAUAGCAGAAGCAUUCAAAUUGUGACCCCUGUCAGGUAAUGCCUGUGAAUUCUGCU
ensembl:ribozyme